UACGGGGGGGGGCAAGCGUUGUUCGGAAUUACUGGGCGUAAAGGGCGCGUAGGCGGUUGGAUAAGUCAGCUGUGAAAACCACGAGCUUAACUCGUGGCCUGCAGUUGAGACUGUCUGGCUUGAGUGUGGGAGAGGAGAGUGGAAUUCCUGGUGUAGCGGUGAAAUGCGUAGAUAUCUGGAGGAACACCGGUGGCGAAGGCGGCAUCCUGGACCAAUAUUGACGCUGAGGAGCGAAAGCCAGGGGAGCAAAGCGGG
rnacentral:rRNA from 1 species